GGGGUGGGGGGGCCCUGGCCAUGGAGCAGCCGCUAGAUCGCUCCCUCCCCCCCCCCCCCGAAGUCUCCGCUGCGGUUCCCCGCUUCUUUCCGCCGGAGCCGCCUCCGCCCCCAGGGCUCUUCCCCGCGGAGCCCGGGGCCCCCCACCCGGGGACUGAGCCGCCGCUGCCUCCCCUGUCACCAACCCCGGAGCACCUUCCGCGCGGAGCCAGGCACGUGGGUGAGACAUCGGGGUCACAGCCGGGACCGAAGCUGCUGGCGACGGGAUGGUGGAAGUCCUAGGAGAGCCGGCCAUGACGGUCCUCCAGCUCAGGAGCAGCUGAGGAGUAACAGCAGCCGACGUCCAGCCCAGCUGCUCCGUGGCUGCCGCGCCUCCUGAUCUGAGCCGCUCUUCUCCACUCCCAGCUCUCUGGGACUCCGGCACCGCCCGACGCACGAGAUCCUGCCACUGCCACCGCCUGCGGCCCCAGUGCGAGCGGAUCGCUGGAGGGGGCAGUGCCGUAUCACACGUGUCAAGGUGACGGGGAGGGUGGUUGGGAUCUAAAGCAGCCCCCCACGGGGAGGACAGAGAGAUUGCCAACGCCCGCCUCAUCCCCCCACCAGGGGAAAGCUCCUCCCCAGGCGACGACCCCCUGCUAACCUCCUCUGGAAUGAGAGAUUCUUGGGACUUAGGGCAGAAAACAUCUGGGGCUUGCCUGGAGCCGGGGUUUCAAGACCACUCCUAGACCCCGCCGUUCACCUCCUCCCCUGCCAAUGCAUUUGGGGUGGGCACAGCUGUCUCUGUCGUUGGGCCAAGCGUCUCUCCCAGAGCAGGCAGAGGCCCCGGGGUUGAUGGGCAGAAGGGAGGCCUGUCUUUUCCAGGGGAGUGAGCAGCCUCACCCUUGACUGCCUCCCCGGGGAGCGGCGAUGGGGUCAGGGCUGUCCACCGGAGCAGUAGUUGCGAUUUCCUUUAACUGUGUCAUCGCUUUGCUGAUCCUCAUCCUCUUCCUGAUCCUGUGCAAGGCCUGCAGGACCCCAUCCUGCCCCAAGAAGAGCCCGGAUAUGGACGAGACGAAGAACGAGGAGAAAUACCUGCUCCAGCCUUGAGUUGCUCCACAUCCCAGGACAGCUGGGGUGCUGAGGGUUGAAGGAAGGAUUGAUUGCUUGUCCCAUGGGCUCUCUCCACCAACUAGCUUGUAAGCCAGACCACACAGAGACCCCCAGGCCUGCGUUCAGGAAGCAGCUUGUCCUGCCUUGGACCUGACUGAGGAGGUUGAGCGGCCAGGCCGGCUGGCAUCAGUUCCCUCACAGCUACCCAAGGGAGAAGGGAGCGUAUGUUGGGGUGGGGGCUGCCCUGAUGAGGGGGCUCUGCAGAACGGACACUCAGGGAGAAGUGACUCAAAAUGAAGAGGAGACUGAGCGGGGUUCGGGGGGCAGUGUGGGAGGCAGGCUGGGCCUUUCACCAAAGGACUCAUGCUCGCUGGACCCCUCUGCCGCGAGGCCGGCUGUGCUGGACUCGGUCCUUGUUGUGGCUGGCUGAGCCCCUCGCAAAGGGCUAGUGAGGCUGCACAAAGGAACCCUCAUUCUUGGGGGUCUUCCAGCCCCUCCCAUUGCACUGCCUGGGUUGCAAACAAACCCCUGAUGAGUGGGGGCACGGGCAGGCGAGCCUCCAUGGCAGGAUGUGCUCCUUGGUGAGCAAGCUCUCUCCAAAGCCUCAUCUAGCUGGCAGGGAGAGCUGCCUUCAGGCCGUUCUGUUUGCUUGGGGUGGCGUCCUCUGAGGCGCUAGCGGCUGCAGGGGCCAGGCGUAAGGCCUGGCACGGUGAGCUGGACGCCAUCACCAGUGUGAACGCCACGAUAAACGGCCACUGGAGUCUGUGUGCUGACAAAUCCUGUGUGGCCGGCCAGCCGGGAGCGGGCAGCUUAUGAUUGUUAAAUAUAGACGAGGGGGCUGGAUGGGUUCGUUUGGGGCUUUGCCUGGCUCAAGAGAGCUCUGGAGUCAGAUGGUUUGGGCACGAUCCCCAAAGCUAUUUAGGUGCCUAAUUCCCACUGAAAUCAAUGAGAUGCUGUAGCUGGGGAGAGCUGCUGGCCCCUUCCCACACGCCCCUAAGAACUCUCCUCGGAGGCAGCCCCAGUGUCUCGGAGUAGCCUGGCUCAGCUGUGUCCAUCCCACCCCUUCUCUCAGCCCCCAGAGCCAGGCGCACCCAGUUACCAGCCGCAGCAGGGGUGCUUCCAGCCCAACGCGCUCGCACUGGCUACCAAGCACCCAUGGGCUCUGCGCAGUCUGGGGGUUGGGCAAGCCCAGCCUGCAUAGCCUAUCUCUCCUUGUUACAGUCCUGUCAUUUGCACUGAACUCCGUGAACUUAGCCCCCGCCCCGCUGAGGGACCCGUGCAAUUUGGCUGUUCCCGGCCGCUCCCUUGGGGCAGAGACAGUCCAGGAGGGAGUGGGGAAAGCUGGCCAGGUGGCUGGGAGGAGAAGGGUGCCCCCUCCAUAGUCAGUAGGUCUCUGUUUCCCUGUGCCGGAGGACCAGGCCUGCUCAGAGCCCCACGAGCGCCCAGAGUAGCUGUAGCGGCUGUGCGGUCGGUCAAAGGCGAUGAGGAUUUCUGCCACGGGGAUAGCUGGGAGCCUUAGUGGUGCUGGUGCCCCCCU